UUGUAGUCCAGUGGUAGCGCAGAGUAAACACAGAACAAUAACAGGGCGCAAUUAGGUGGCGUCUUUGACGUACUGAAGUGCUUGGAGGCAUUUCACCGGAGCGUGAAUAGGCAAAAGAGAGACAGCAAGGUAACUGGCCCUUCAAGCCCAGCGAGUCCGUGCCCUCCAAUUACACCCAUGUGACCAAUUACCCUACUGACCGUACAUCUUUGAAACGGUGGACAUCGGAGCACGCGGAGGAAACACACAGUCAUGGCAUUCACGGUAAAUACAAAUAAACAGAAUAGAAUCAAUCAAAAACUACACUCGAAGAUGGACAAACAACCAAUGUGCAAAAGACAACAAUUAUGCAAAUACAAAGAGA